UUUCUCCCUAGCCCGAUCCCUCUCCUCCUCCCCUCUGGCGGACCCGAGCUUUCCUCUUUCCCUCCCUCGCGCGCCGACUCUCCCUUCUUCAUCGCAUCGCCCCUACACCCUACGCCAUCACCGAGCUCCUCUCGCGGGUUUCCUUCUCUUCUCUUCAUCUCGAGACGCUGCGAACCCUUCCUUCCCCCCUUCACAUCGCCGCCUCGACUCUUCUCUCUCGAGCCCCGACGCCGAUCCUUCCCUGCCGUCGUCUCCUUGUCGUGGAGGUUCUCACCGCACCAAUCGCCACAAGAGCACCGUCGGCAGCAGUCCUUCUUUUCGCGUGUCUCUUCCCUAGAGUGAUCACCGCCUUCCCUGUGCUCUAGCGUCGGCACAGAUCGCCUCCUCUACUGCGAUUUGGAAGCACAACAGUUGUGCCCUAGCUUCUAUUCACUGCCCUUCUCGAGCUCCUCCCUAUUCUGAUAAUCCACGCCGCAAGUUGCCAGUGGGCUCCGGUCAUAAAUUUCCGACAGCAAACUUUUCCGGUCGUGAGUCAGCGGCUGUGCGAGUGGAUUUGGGACGUUGAUUCGAGAUGGGCGUCCUGACGUAGGAUUUCUGGAUACGAUCUUCUAUUGAG